rnacentral:rRNA from 1 species
AUUGAACGCUGGCGGCAGGCCUAACACAUGCAAGUCGAGCGGCAGCGGGAAAGUAGCUUGCUACUUUUGCCGGCGAGCGGCGGACGGGUGAGUAAUGCCUGGGGAUCUGCCCAGUCGAGGGGGAUAACUACUGGAAACGGUAGCUAAUACCGCAUACGCCCUACGGGGGAAAGGCAGGGGACCUUCGGGCCUUGCGCGAUUGGAUGAACCCAGGUGGGAUUAGCUAGUUGGUGAGGUAACGGCGUCACCAAGGCGACGAUCCCUAGCUGGUCUGAGAGGAUGAUCAGCCACACUGGAACUGAGACACGGUCCAGACUCCUACGGGAGGCAGCAGUGGGGAAUAUUGCACAAUGGGGGAAACCCUGAUGCAGCCAUGCCGCGUGUGUGAAGAAGGGCCUUCGGGUUGUAAAGCACUUCUAGCGA